rnacentral:tRNA from 1 species
GGAGGGGUGGCAGAGCGGUUUAAUGCGGCGGUCUUGAAAACCGUUGACUGUAACAGGUCCGGGGGUUCGAAUCCCUCCCCCUCCGCCA